ACGACCAAACAAUAUUGCUUUCUGGUAUUGUCGCCGCUGACGGCAACAUGGUGAACGGUAUCACCCACAGAAAACAGUGGCAGCUAUUAUUCGCGCAGACUUGAGCAGGGCAAUCUGUUAGGGAAGCAUUUCGUACCUCGAGGUCUGCACAUCUUUGACCAUGUUGUUGCCACAACAUUGUCGUGUUUCUGUAGGGUGACUGAGAUCAAGGAGAGAAACGGCGAAGGGUGGCAUGGCGGGGCUAGCCAAGUGAUGUGCCCUGCUUUACUUUGAAAGCGGAGUUAACUUCAAUAGUAAAGACGAAAUUCGCGCCAGUUGGUGGCAGCAAGAGGGAAGCGAAACCGAGUUGUCACGACGCGAAUAAUUUGAAGAUGGAGGAAGCGGUCAGCGAAGCUGCGACGCUAAGUACCGUGAUUGGAGUAUCUGGGGAAUAUAAAAGGGGUUGUGUUGCCGGUGAAUCUACCGCUCAAGGCUUGGGCAAUAGAUUCGGGCGUUGGAGACAGCGGCAGGUAUCUACGAUGCGAUUGACCGUAGGGGUAGGUACAUGAGCGCCAGUUCGAGCCUUAUGGCCUUCUGCUAAGUGUAACCUAAACACUGAGGUUUGUCUAUUUGAGCAGUUUUCACGGGAGCACUACUUCACGCAUCUGGAUGUGACGCGCGGGCCCAAAGAGAUUACCUCACGCGUUCGUUUACGUAGGAUGUCUGAUGUCUUAGCUGAUGUCGGAAAACGUCACUGGCAAAUUAUAGAGACGCAAGGGCAGACAUUCCUCGGAAGGGUACACCUCAGCGGAUCCGAGUGUCACUGACUGUGCGACUACAGGUUGAAACCACAAUCAUGUUCCGCCACUUCGAACAGACAGCUCGUAUGCCCCACGUUCAGUGUCCAUCUGCUACCGGUCUGCAGUUAGCGGCUCGUAUUUCCCAGCUAGCAGCGUUUUGCGCACGUGGAAUGGAUGGCGGCCCACAAGGAGCAGGACGACCCGCCAAUGCCGUCUUCCGCCAAUAACUUGGCUCUUGCAUUAGCCCCAACCUCCGAUUACGUGUAUGAAAGAAGUGAAGUGCAAGAUAGCAUUAGCGGCGCUGAAGUCUCUAUCGAAAGAGUCGUGAAACCGUAGAGGAGCCAUGGCUAGCGCAGCGGUGUCUGAGAAGGGAAAUUCAGGAAAAUGGGCUCAACUACUACCACCACUGCCGGCAGCAGCAAUGGCAGGAAAUAGGCUAGGAGUCGAAUUGGUGGACGGACUUAUAACGACAGGCUGAGGGACCAGCGAAUGGACGGAACUCUAAUGCGAUUCCCUCUGAGCGAAUGUGAUUUCCCAGUGUUCCGCUGCGCACGGCCGCGGAAGGGUGCCUAUGCGCCGCACAUCGGCGGUAUUUCGUCGGGCUCUGAAUUUGCUCUUCAACGGAGAAAUCAGGAACUGAUAAGACCAAAGUCACCAUGGUGGUGAUCAUCAUCACCAUCUGUAGGAGCGGCAUCAGCAAAUGGCUCAGACCGCUGGCGCUCGUGGUAGAAGCUCCUUUGCACUAGUUUUUUUU